AGGAGGUGCCGACCGCGGCGCUCGGACCUGGUAACUUACAAGAUUAAAAUUAUAUUUGGUUGAUGAUGGUUCUGAACAAAUACAGCUCUUAUUUGAGGUAUGCCAUUUUGAAGACGGAGACCGUGGAAUUUUAUCCUUGAGGAUAAAGGAAAUCUUUGCGAUAGUCUGUAUUUCAUAUAGCAAAAAUAUGAAUCCUGAGGCUGAAUUAUCUAAGGGGCCAGUACAACGAAAAUAGAUGUUGGUGGAAGAAUUUAUUUACACCCAGUCAGCUUGAAGAGUCUCAAAUGGACCCUACCACUGAGAAAUCAAGAUGGCAGUCCACUAUGGGGAAUUGAGAAAAAUGGAUUAAUACAAGAGUGCUGUGAUAAUAUACAACCAAGACAGGGUUCUUUUAACAUGGAUUUCAUGAAAUGAAUGAAGAUAUAGGUUUCUUACCCAGCACAAAUGGACAGUGAAUUUGACUUUCUAGAGACUUUGUAUCAUUAAGAACAUUUUUGACAUUUGGAGAAGAAAGAUGGCACAUUAA